GUUCGGAUUGUAGUCUGCAACCCGACUACAUGAAGCUGGAAUCGCUAGUAAUCGCGAAUCAGAAUGUCGCGGUGAAUACGUUCCCGGGUCUUGUACACACCGCCCGUCACACCAUGGGAGUCGGAAAUGCCCGAAGUCAGUGACCCAACCGUAAGGAGGGAGCUGCCGAAGGUGGAGCCGGUAACUGGGGUGAAGUCGUAACAAGGUAUC
rnacentral:rRNA from 1 species